rnacentral:tRNA from 1 species
GCCGGCGUGGCGGAAUUGGCAGACGCGCCAGACUCAAAAUCUGGUAUCCGCAAGGAUGUGUGGGUUCGACCCCCUCCGCCGGCACCA